rnacentral:rRNA from 1 species
CCUACGGGUGGCAGCAGUGAGGAAUAUUGGGCAAUGGGCGCGAGCCUGAACCAGCCAAGUAGCGUGAAGGAUGACUGCCCUAAGGGUUGUAAACUUCUUUUAUAAAGGAAUAAAGUGGGGCAUGUGUGCCCUUUUGUAUGUACUUUAUGAAUAAGGAUCGGCUAACUCCGUGCCAGCAGCCGCGGUAAUACGGAGGAUCCGAGCGUUAUCCGGAUUUAUUGGGUUUAAAGGGAGCGUAGGUGGGUUGUUAAGUCAGUUGUGAAAGUUUGCGGCUCAACCGUAAAAUUGCAAUUGAGACUGGCAGCCUUGAGUACAGUAGAGGUAGGCGGAAUUCGUGGUGUAGCGGUGAAAUGCUUAGAUAUCACGAAGAACUCCGAUUGCGAAGGCAGCUUACUGGACUGCAACUGACAUUGAUGCUCGAAAGUGUGGGUAUCAAACAGGAUUAGAUACCCUUGUAGUC